AACCUCCGCAAUGUGAGAAAUCGCGACGGGGGGAUCCCAAGUGCCAUUCUUAACGGGAUGGCUUUUCAUUAGUGUAAAGAGUCUUUUGGAAUAAGGGCUGGGCAAGACCGGUGCCAGCCGCCGCGGUAACACCGGCAGCUCUAGUGGUAGCAGUUUUUAUUGGGCCUAAAGCGUCCGUAGCCGGUUUAAUAAGUCUCUGGUGAAAUCCUGUAGCUUAACUGUGGGAAUUGCUGGAGAUACUAUUAGACUUGAGACCGGGAGAGGUUAGAGGUACUCCCAGGGUAGAGGUGAAAUUCUGUAAUCCUGGGAGGACCGCCUGUUGCGAAGGCGUCUAACUGGAACGGUUCUGACGGUGAGGGACGAAAGUUAGGGGCGCGAACCGGAUUAGAUACCCGGGUAGUCCUAACUGUAAACGAUGCGGACUUGGUGUUGGGGUGGCUUUGAGCUGCUCCAGUGCCGAAGGGAAGCUGUUAAGUCCGCCGCCUGGGAAGUACGGUCGCAAGACUGAAACUUAAAGGAAUU
rnacentral:rRNA from 1 species